rnacentral:tRNA from 1 species
UCCUGACGCUCAGAGAUUAAAGCAUCUGCCUGCAAUGCAGGAGACCUGGGUUCGAUUCCUCGGUCGGGAA